AUGUAUACAAUGUGGCAUACAGCUCCAGAGGAAGCUGCUAAUUUUGUAGAGCUUGGGGUUUUAAAACCAUCUCCCAGUCUCUCCUUUGAAUCCCUGAUGCAUUUUCUGAAUGCCCAUUUGACCAUGUUGUCAAUCUCCUUGAAUGCACUACUCAUCAUUCUAGUCAUUUCACUCAGUAUCUAUUUUUUGAGGAAGCCUUCUCCAAAGCCAGAGGAUACUGAGUGGCAGGGAGUGUGGAGAAAAUUGGGAGAGACCUUAGAGAGAUGGGAGUCUCCGGUGUCAUGGAACUUUACUCCUGAACACAUGGAAGAUCCUGAGAGCCUAAGUGAAUAUUUGAGACAGAGAUGUGACAGCUUUGGCGAAUCUGAGGAGGCACAAAUCAUUUGGGGCCUAGCUCAUGCUUAUCGGGCCUUAUUCAAUACUAUCCCAGAGAGGGAGAGACAGUUUGAAACCAAAAUACAGGGUCUCCAAGCUGAAAUACAGGGUCUCCAAAUCAAAAUAGAUUGUUUCCAAGCUGAGAGAGAGAGUUUCCAAAAGGAAAGGGAGAGUUUCUGUCAGAAAGUACUGAAUGAGCGAGAGAGUCUCCAAGCCGACAUGCAGAGUUUCGAGGAGCGGGUCCGAGCUGAAAAUGGGAAUCUCCUAACCAGAGAAAGAAAUCUUCGAAUUGGCCAAGAGUGUCUCCAAGCUGAGAAAGAAAUUCUCCAAGCUGAAAAGGAAGAUCUCCGAGCUGAAAGAGAUAAUCUCCAAUCUCAGGAGAACAUCUUCCAAUCGGAAUGGUACACCUUCCAAAAUGAGCGGGACACUCUGCAAUCUGAGCGAGACACUUUCCAAAAUGAGCGGGACACUCUGCAAUCCAAGCUCGACUGUCUCCAGUUUGAGCGGGACACUCUCCAAUCUGAGCGAGACACUUUCCAAAAUGAGCGGGACACUCUGCAAUCUGAGCGAGACACCUUCCAAAGAGAGCGGGACACUCUACAAUCCCAGCUUAACAGACUCCAAACAGAACUACACGCCCUCCAAUCCAACUUUCAUGCCGUAACAGAAAAGUUGGUCCAAGCCGAGCUUGAGAGACAGAGCAUGAAAAACAACCAGCCUGAUCAACCACAGAAGGCACCACAACUGAUUUCAGUUGCCCCUGUAAGAGGACGGAAGGUGAAACGAAUAUCGCUUCCUUUGGAACAGGAGACAGCAAAGCGAGAAGGUCCAGGGGAGCCACCCCAAAGUCCAGGGGAAGGGCCCUCAACAAGAUCCCGGUCACCAACGCCCACCAGGGCAACAACAACUGAAAGAGACGUUGAAACCCUUACUACUUGUCCUCUGAAAAUGACUGAACUUCGAGUCUUGAGAAAAGACUUUACACAGCACCCAGGUGAACGCAUUGUCACCUGGCUACUUCGAUGCUGGGACAGUGGGGCCAACAGUGCACUGCUAGACAGUACAGAAGCCUGCCAGCUGGGAAGUAUUGCCAGAGACUCAGCGAUUGACAGAGAUAUCAGAAGAUGCCAGGAUGAGUCUUUCACCCUUUGGAAGCGGAUGCUAUUAGCUGUGAAGGAAAAGUACCCCUUCAAAAACGAUCUGAUGCCUGAGGCAAAGAAAUGGACUACUAUGGAGAAGGGCAUCCAAUAUUUGAGAGAAUGCGCUGUAGUGGAAAUGUUACAUGACCCUGGAUUCAUUCCUGAUGAUCCAAACCAGGAGCAUGAUCCUGAGAGAAUCAGGUGUACACCAGACAUGUGGCAUCCAUUCACAAGAACUGCACCAGAAAAAUACGCCGGUACAUUAUCAGCCAUGUAUGGCAGAGGGGAAAGAAGACCCCCUAUGGGUGAACUGAUUUCCAGGCUCCAUGACUUUGAGAUACAUUUAACCCCUCUGCAAGUUUAUGCUUCAGCCACUGUAAAGGUGACUGAAAGACUGGAUAGACUUGAGAGUGAUCAUGAUGAUAUAAUAGAGGAACUGACUUCUUUGCCUCAUGACGAUAAACCUGAUGACAAUCAGGAUUAUCGAGACACCCUACGGGAGGGGCUGAGCAAUUUGUUUUCCUCCCAACUUGCAUCAUCCAACAUCUCAGCUACUAUAAGAAGAAGACAUCCUCCUGCUCAAGCAAGUGACAACAGUAAGACUAUGUCACGCGUUGCAUUGUGGCGUUUCCUACGUGACCAUGGAGAAGACAUGAAGAAGUGGCACAAAAAACCCACUCCUGCACUACAAGCAUGGGCAACAGAACUGCUAGCCAAAUCAAUCACCAAGGCGAAAUCCUCCGCUCCUGUCGCUGCGGGAUGUGGUAAAAGCCGUAAGGGCCCUGAUCAGAAGAACAAGGGAGGUAACAAGUAG
ensembl:lncRNA uncharacterized LOC110389699